UAGCUCAGUAACACGUGGAUAAUCUGCCCUAUGGUGGAGGAUAACCCCGGGAAACUGGGGAUAAUACUCCAUAAGUCAGGAGUACUGGAAUGUCUCCUAACUGAAAGUUGCGGCGCCAUAGGAUGAAUCUGCGGCCGAUUAGGUAGUUGUUGGGGUAACGGCCCAACAAGCCUGUAAUCGGUACGGGUUGUGGGAGCAAGAGCCCGGAGAUGGAACGGAGACACGAUUCCAGGCCCUACGGGGCGCAGCAGGCGCGAUACUUUACAAUGCAGGAACUGUGCUAAGGGAACCCCGAGUGCCCGUAUCGCGGGCUGUCCCGGUGUUAAACACAUCGAAUUAGGGCCGGGCAGACCGGUGCAGCCCGCGUAUACCGGCGGUCGGUGUGCACUUUAUGCUUAAGCGUCGUACUGAUUUUAGUCUCUGGGAAUCUCCGGUUACUGUGAGCGCUAAAUCUGGAACAGGACGGAAGAAAGAUUCGGGUAAGGAUCUGAUCUUAGACACGUGCAAGACUACAACGCUCAAUAGACACUGGACACGAAACCGAUCACUACUUCUAGUCUACAUCGUCAUACGAGCCGACGCGGAUAAUGGGACCGCGUGCGUCAAAGAUCAGGCUACUACAGUAGAGAGGAGAAAACUAAUUG
rnacentral:rRNA from 1 species